rnacentral:rRNA from 1 species
AACGUAGGGGGCGAGCGUUAUCCGGAAUUACUGGGCGUAAAGGGUGUGUAGGUGGCUGCCAUAGUCGGGCGUGAAAUCCCGGGGCUUAACCUCGGGUGUGCGUUCGAUACUUGGUGGCUGGAGUGCAGAAGAGGAUAGUGGAAUUCCAAGUGUAGCGGUGAAAUGCGUAGAGAUUUGGAGGAACACCAGUGGCGAAGGCGACUGUCUGGUCUGUAACUGACACUGAGGCGCGAAAGCGUGGGGAGCAAACAGG